rnacentral:snoRNA from 1 species
AAAUUAUUUCAAAGGGGGCCUGUGGGCUAGGGAACCAAGUGCGCUUUCAGGCUGUGACCAAAGGUUGACACAUUCCACAGAAUGGUUGGUGUAGUCAGUCAGUAGUGCUGUGUUUUUCUGAGACAAUAUAAAG